GAUUAACGCUGGCGGCGUGCCUAACACAUGCAAGUCGAACGGAGUGGCGGACGGGUGAGUAACGCGUGAGUAACCUGCCUUAGAGAAGGGGAUAGCCUUUGGAACCGAAGAAUAAUACCCUAUACUCUAAGAUGGACUUGCGUCUGAUUAGUUAGUUGGUGAGGUAACGGCCCCCCAAGACAGCGAUCAGUAGCCGGCUUGAGAGAGUGUACGGCAACAUUGGGGCUGGGACACGGGCCAGACUCUACGGGAGGCAGCAGUGGGGAAGUAUGCACAAUGGGGGAAACCAGAAUGCAGCGACGCCGCGUGGUUUAGAAGGCCUUCGGGUUGUAAAAAUCUUUUCUAUGGGAAGCAGUACCAUAGGAAUAAGGACCGGCUAAUUACGUGCCAGCAGCCGCGGUAAUUC
rnacentral:rRNA from 1 species